UACGUAGGGGGCGAGCGUUGUCCGGAUUUAUUGGGCGUAAAGAGCGUGUAGGCGGCCAGGUAGGUCUGCUGUGAAAACUCGAGGCUCAACCUCGAGACGUCGGCGGAAACCAUCUGGCUAGAGUCCGGAAGAGGAGAGUGGAAUUCCGUGGUGUAGCGGUGAAAUGCGCAGAUAUCAGGAAGAACACCCGUGGCGAAGGCGGCUCUCUGGUACGUGACUGACGCUGAGACGCGAAAGCGUGGGGAGCGAACAGG
rnacentral:rRNA from 1 species